rnacentral:rRNA from 1 species
GACAGAGGGUGCAAACGUUGCUCGGAAUCACUGGGCGUAAAGGGCGUGUAGGCGGGAAGGAAAGUCAGAUGUGAAAGCCCUGGGCUCAACCCAGGAACUGCAUUUGAAACUCCCUUUCUUGAGUGUCGGAGAGGAAAGCGGAAUUCCUGGUGUAGAGGUGAAAUUCGUAGAUAUCAGGAGGAACACCGGUGGCGAAGGCGGGUCUCUGGGCCGAUACUGACGCUGAGGAGCGAAAGCGUGGGGAGCGAACAGG